UGAGGAAUAUUGGGCAAUGCCCGCAAGGGUGACCCAGCAACGCCGCGUGGAGGAUGACUGUCGUAAGAUUGUAAACUCCUGUUAGAGGGGAAGAAUAGUACCGGUUGGACCGGUAUAUGACUGUACCCUCAGAGAAAGCCCCGGCUAACUACGUGCCAGCAGCCGCGGUAAUACGUAGGGGGCAAGCGUUGUCCGGAUUUACUGGGUGUAAAGGGCGCGCAGGCGGGAUAAAAAGUCAGUGGUGAAAUCCUACAGCUUAACUGUAGAACUGCCUUUGAUACUUUUAUUCUUGAGUUCGGGAGAGAGAGACGGCAUUCCAGGUGUAGUGGUGAAAUACGUAGAUAUCUGGAAGAACACCAGUUGCGAAGGCGGUCUCUUGGUCCGACACUGACGCUGAGGCGCGAAAGCGUGGGGAGCAAACA
rnacentral:rRNA from 1 species